CCCACCUAAUCACCAAAGUUAAGCAAUGUUAAGCCUGUUCAGUACCUAGAUGGGUGACCACUUGGGAAUAUCAGGUGCUGUAA